AUCUGUCAAAGGUUUAUAUGACACUUUCCCAGAUGAGAUUCAACAAAUAAGAUAAUACACUUGCAUCAGGACGGAUUAAAACAUCAUGACAUUGAUGAUUUUUGUUUUAGAGGAUAUUCCAAAGUUAUCUGGCUUAACUGAAGAUCAAUAUUUAAACAUCUUUCCUUUGCUAGAUGGAUUGGGCCAUCUUCUACAAAAGAAGUUAAGAAAUCUCUAUUGUAUUUUGCGUGCACAAGAAUAAGUAAAAGUUUUGGACAA